UUUCACAAAACAACUCAUCUAUAUCUUUUUCUUGUUUUUUUCUCUAAAAGUUUAAUAGAGAUCGAGUCUGCUUAUUGACUUCCUCUCUCAGCUCUUUCAUUAUUUGCUCUCAAUCGACCUUCAUCGUCUUCUUCUGCAAUUUUUCAAGAUCCGGAAGGUGGAGUAGAAGUCAAUACCCUCAAACAAAUAAUCGAUUUCAAUGGUAGCAUGUGUUUCAGUAAUAAAAUCCUUCUCGCGACUAAUUUGGUUGUAGAUUACUUCAACUGGUUCCUAUUGACGGUGUGGUGGUGAUGAAGUAGAAGAUGACUCAGUUUGCUAAUUAGAUUGCUCGUUAUAUUGCUUGUAUUUUUUUGAGUUGGGUCAUUCUUAGGUUCCAUGACAUGAGCUUUUAAUAGGGCAAGAAACUGAAGGUGGUAACUGGUUAUCAAGAAUCCAAGUGUUGAUUUUGAAGAUGAGGAUGAAUAUUUGUGAAGGACCUUAUGGAAUGGGGAUGUGUUUGUUUUUAUGAAGUGGUCAAAUACAGGGAUUGAAUUAUUGAUGAUGGAUUUGCUGGUGGUGGUGGUGGAACUAUGAUUACCUAAGGUGACUGCUAUGGCGAGAAUUUGCUCAGUUUUCUUUUGCUUUAUGUUGUUUUCCUUAAACCCUUUCUUUUAUGAUUAUUUUUAGUUUAUACUUAGAAAUAUGAUUUCUUAAAGUGAUGUCCUCUACUGUCUUAUUCAUAUGGAAAAAUAUAAGAACUAUGACUUCUGGAGAUGUACUAAAGUUUAUUCACAUGGACAAAAUCGUGUCUUCCAGUUGGAAAAUCAUACAUUCCUCGGUCAAGUACAGUGAAGAUCAACUAUCCCAAGUACGAAGAUAUAUACUAUCUUAGAGUUUAUUGAUGAUUGUUGGUUGAAUAUUUAAAUUGCUGGUUACUUGGUUUUGUAUUGGUUGUUGAUUGCAGCUUAAGGCUGCUGGAGACAUGAUCAUACAAAGUCAGGUGCAUAAACAAAAAUUUAUUGUAUUCGAAAAAUCUCCAUUUCAAAGAGAAUCUUUUAGGGAAAAGUUUUUAUUAAAAAUUUAAAGAGAUGCGCAGUUAGAAAGACAACAUUUUUUUAAUAUCAUGUAGACACAUCUAUAUUGGAGUGGUAUUGUGAUAGGUUAAUGUUCUCACUUAGUUGUUUGCAGAAGAUCAGUCUAGUUAGUCCUGCAAAGGGUGUCAUUAAUUCUUGUUUACGACAUUCGAUAUUUACGGAAGUUCUUAGUGUUUAAUUAGUGUUAUGGGUUGACUACAUGGGAACAAUUCAGUUGGAGAAUCCUCACGAAGCGGGGAUAGUUUACCAGUGGAAAGCAUAAUCGAAGACCUGCAGUCCCGGAUCAGAAAGCUCGAACGAUGGCGUACGGUCAAUACGGAAAUUCCCUGCUUGAGAAGUCAUACGGAUUGAUUUCUUUCGUAGUCCAGUAUCUGAACCGGAAACAACACACCCUAUAGUUCAGGAACAAACAAAAGUUUAAUCUUUGUGUCAAUUGAAGAAGGUUCUACAUAACUUUCAUUUUUCUUCUUUUAGCUAUUAAAUGUGUUAGUUCUUUGAGUUUUUGUGUUAAACUGUGCUCUUUAUGUUGCUGGAUUCCACAUGUAUCUUUUAAGAAAACUUAUUAGGACUUGUAUUAUGCGAAUUCAGGAUUUGAAUCCUCUUUGUGUGAUUUUGAAACUAAAUGUCAACUGAAUUCAGUUAUGGGUUGUGCAGUGAAUACAAUGAAUGUUUAAUGGAAUGAAAUUUGGUCCACA